rnacentral:lncRNA from 1 species
AAAAAAUAAAAGGGUUUCGAAAAAAGAACAAAAGUAAAAACCUUUGCUUUCGGGACCUUUUUUUUACUUUUUUGUUUGAAUCUCCUCUUUUUAUUUCUUAGAAACCAGAGAAAAGAAGGGAUUUCCCCUGAUAAAAUCUGUUUUAGAAUCAGUUUUUUAUCGAAAAAAAAAAAAAACCAAAAGCCCCCCUUUUACAUUGAAAUCUUUGAUUUUUAUAGCCAAAUGCCUAUAUGCUUUUUUCUGUUUGUUACUGCUUCUCUGCUGUUUUUGCGUGCUC